UACAGAGGUCUCAAGCGUUGUUCGGAUUCAUUGGGCGUAAAGGGCGCGUAGGCGGCGGGGUAAGUCGGGUGUGAAAUCUCAGAGCUCAACUCUGAAAUGGCACUUGAUACUGCUCUGCUAGAGGACUGGAGAGGAGAUUGGAAUUCACGGUGUAGCAGUGAAAUGCGUAGAUAUCGAGAGGAACACCUGCGGCGAAGGCGGGUUGCUGGGCUGACACUGACGCUGAUGCGCGAAGGCCAGGGGAGCAAACGGG
rnacentral:rRNA from 1 species